ensembl:lncRNA NTRAS non-coding transcript regulating alternative splicing
ACCCUGGCCAUGGCUGACAAGGGGCCCAGGGACACUGGAGCAGAGAGACCUGCUGGUCCUUGGGGUUUCUUGCAAGGUGACUGUCUGGUCCAUGAGCUGGGCUGGCCCAGUCUGUCUCUGGCAAUCCUGGGGACAUCUGCUGUUGACAUCCUUGAGUGAAUCAUCUGUGAACACUUCCUGUGAACGUGUGACUAUGAUUAUGGAACACUCUGUUGCAUCAAGAUGGCCAGAGAUUGUCUCAGAGUCCAGGCAGUGGGAGGAGGGGGGAUUUGUUUCCUGGCUGGGUGGUCGUAGGGCAUCAAGGGAUGAGCAGCUUUGGUUGUCUGGGAUUUCAGCAGCUUGAGGGGAGCUGUAGGGCCCCAGAGCUGUCGCUGUGGCUGUGGUGUCAGAAAUGUAAGCAAGGUGCCUCCAUGGAGGUUAGCGAGGGUGCCCCUCUGAAUGCCGGGUGGAAUGCAACCUUUCGCAUGGAGGAGGCCCUCAGCAGCUGACCUCUGUCUUCCCUGUGUAGAGGGAGGGAGGCUGAGGCUGGGGCUGAGCGAGGGGUAAAGUAAGCCACGUGUCUCAUCAGCUAGCCUGCAGCAAGCACAGCCCUCUGGGAGGGCUGGUUCUAUCCUCCUCCUUGGUGUGAAAUCCAUCAAUCUAAUAGGGAUCCUUAUUUUCCCAGCCACCAAGUCACAAUGAGCAAUAAUCUCUUCUUGUUGGUGCAUAUAAAUUUGCUUCAUUCUUUUUUAAA